CCUACGGGUGGCAGCAGUGGGGGAUAUUGCACAAUGGGGGGAACCCUGAUGCAGCGACGCCGCGUGGGUGAUGACGCCCCUCGGCGUGUAAAGCUCUGUCAGCAGGGAAGAAAAUGACGGUACCUGAAGAAGAAGCCCCGGCUAACUACGUGCCAGCAGCCGCGGUAAUACGUAGGGGGCAAGCGUUAUCCGGAUUUACUGGGUGUAAAGGGGGCGCAGACGGCGGUGCAAGCCAGGAGUGAAAGCCCGGGGCUCAACCCCGGGACUGCUCUUGAAACUGCGUGGCUGGAGUGCAGGAGGGGCAGGCGGAAUUCCUGGUGUAGCGGUGAAAUGCGUAGAUAUCAGGAGGAACACCGGUGGCGAAGGCGGCCUACUGGACUGCAACUGACGUUGAGGCCCGAGAGCGUGGGGAGCAAACAGGAUUAGAUACCCCGGUAGUC
rnacentral:rRNA from 1 species